rnacentral:lncRNA from 1 species
UUCUCUACCAGUGCCCUAUGGCACCUACACGCUAUCCGGACCAGGAUUGCAUGGAAGCCCUAGGCAUUAAGCCGAGCAUCAGAUACCUGUGCCACCAACUCCAAUGGGAUGAAUUCGCUGAUGACCUGAGCAACACCUACAGGAACUUAACUUUGGAGUUCCUCAGCUCGUUUGAUUAUGAUCCUUACUCCGGACCAAACGGACAUGCUGCUUUCAGGCUAUUC